ACUAAAAUGGACCAGGACCUCAGGAACUUCCUUUCAGUCCCCGUUUUCAUAAGCCAGAUUGUGCUGAAGAGGCUUGAGCGCCCACUUCUUCAAGCUCUUGACACUGAAAGACCACAACUGAAGAAGCUAUGCAUGAAGUUUCCAGUGAGACUCUGCAGGAGGCAAAUACCCAGAAGGUUCUAGGAGUUUUCCAAGAAGCAGCAGCGGAAGCAGAAGCAGAAGCAGAAGCGGAAGC